UACGUAGGGUGCAAGCGUUGUCCGGAUUUAUUGGGCGUAAAGAGCUCGUAGGCGGUUAGUCACGUCGGAUGUGAAAACUCAGAGCUUAACUCUGAGCCUGCAUUCGAUACGGGCUGACUAGAGUGUUGUAGGGGAGACUGGAACUCCUGGUGUAGCGGUGAAAUGCGCAGAUAUCAGGAAGAACACCGGUGGCGAAGGCGGGUCUCUGGGCAACUACUGACGCUGAGGAGCGAAAGCGUGGGGAGCAAACAGG
rnacentral:rRNA from 1 species